GGCUCGGUAGUGGAUGGUCAGCAUCUGCAUUUAAUAAGCAUGUCAUCGAGCGCAAUGCACGCAGAUCCCGCCUGUUCAACUCAGGCCCGAGCCA